GCCCAGGUGGCGGAAUGGUAGACGCGCUCGUUUCAGGUGCGAGUGUUUAAUAGACGUGCAAGUUCGACUCUUGUUCUGGGCA
rnacentral:tRNA from 1 species